AUUGAACGCUGGCGGCAGGCCUAACACAUGCAAGUCGAACGAGUGGCGGACGGGUGAGUAAUGUCUGGGAAACUGCCUGAUGGAGGGGGAUAACUACUGGAAAAGGUAGCUAAUACCGCAUACCAUCAGAUGUGCCCAGAUGGGAUUCGCGUGUUUGUGGGGGAACGGAUCACCAAGGCGACGAUCCCUAGCUGGUCUGAGAGGAUGACCAGCCACACUGUAACUUAGACACGGUCCAGACGCCUACGGGAGGCAGCAGUGGGGAAUAGUGCAGAAUGGGCGCAAUCCUGAUUCAGCCAUGCCGCGUGUAUGAAGAAGGCCUUCGGGUUGUAAAGUACGUUCAGCGGGGAGGCGUUACCCGCAGAAGAAGCACCGGCUAACUCCGUGCCAGCAGCCGCGGUAAUUC
rnacentral:rRNA from 1 species